UGCUAAGCCCUUUUGCUCCCCAAAUGUCCUUUUGCUCCGAUCAGAUCAGAUCUCCCAUUCUAUUUCUCUCUUCUGCGUUUCCCAUUCUUUUCUCUCUAUUCACAGCAUGUUUUUCGCUCAUCUAUCUCUUCUCAUCUGACUAAGUUUUGGUUGGAUCGAAUCGGUGGUGUGUUUCGAUUGUGAAGUUGAAUCGGUGGCCGACUUUGAUGGUGGGUCGUUUCGGUGUUUGCUGGAUCCAUUUGGUGGUGGCUUUCGGUGCUUGCUGGAUCCGUUUGGUGGUGAGAUUUGGUGCUUGCUAGGUCUUUUUGGUGGCUGGGUUUCAUUGGUAGCCAGGUUUUGGUGGUGGCUGGGUUUCCCAUUUUCUUCCACAGGCUGCAGCACUACUCGACCAUACUCACCAGUCACCACCCAGUCUCUCUGCCCAUAACAUCACAGUGACUCUCUCUCUCUCUAAAAAGCCACAACAAACCCCAUGUUAGGCUCGUUUGGGAACUCUUUCCAGUCUCCAAAGAAGGGUGAAGUGCUUAUCUCAGGUUCUCAUAGUUAGACAAGACUUAAAGAUGAAAUCAGGAAAGAUUGCAUCUCAAUGCGCUCAUGCUGCCACUGGCAUGUAUGUGGAUUUAAUGCAAAGAGGUAUUUGGUGGAGUUAAUUUGCAGCUUCUUUGUUGCAUCAUGGACUAGGGUUGUAAAAUACCAUGGGCGACGGCCUAGCAGGCGGCCUAAGCAGGCUAUUCAGUGGUAUUUUGCUUCCAUCUAUGGGUUGAACAGGUUUUUGUGGCCAAUCAUACCUCCAAUGUCAUCAAGAAAUGGAGGAAUUCCGAGCAGUGGGUUUUGGGUUAGAGGCUUCGCCAAUUGAAGCUGAAUGGGCUCUCCAUUUAUUCUGAAUGGAGAGGAUCGAUCUGCAUUUUCGAUAUAUAGAUACAAACAUAAAUGAAAACCAGAAGACGAAGCAUCCGCAAUUGCUUUAUGAGGCCAAGUUGAAUGGUGUUCUUCAAGGAGGAAAUGGUAUUGCGAAUAUGAAAUGGUGCGAAUAACAUUCUUGUCCUUGACCUUCUUGGACCAAGUCUUGAAGAUCUCUGUCUACUGUGGGAGGAAGUUUUCCUUGAAAACAGUCUUAAUGUUGGCUGAGCUAAUGGUUUAUAUUAUUGAUUUUGGACUUGCAAAAAGAUUUCGGGACCCCACGACAAAUCGGCAUAUACCUUAGAUCCUUGCUUGAAAUCUGGUGUGUUUUUUGUUUCUGAUUUCUGUUCUGGAUGGUCUAACCAUGUUAAAUGUAUAUUUUACCCAUAUUUUCAUUUAAUAUGGUUCAGUUAAUGUUAAAUGUAUACAUUUUAAA